AGUGAACGCUGGCGGUAGGCCUAACACAUGCAAGUCGAACGGCAGCACAGUAAGAGCUUGCUCUUACGGGUGGCGAGUGGCGGACGGGUGAGGAAUACAUCGGAAUCUACUUUUUCGUGGGGGAUAACGUAGGGAAACUUAUGCUAAUACCGCAUACGACCUACGGGUGAAAGCAGGGGAUCUUCGGACCUUGCGCGAUUGUAUGAGCCGAUGUCGGAUUAGCUAGUUGGCGGGGUAAAGGCCCACCAAGGCGACGAUCCGUAGCUGGUCUGAGAGGAUGAUCAGCCACACUGGAACUGAGACACGGUCCAGACUCCUACGGGAGGCAGCAGUGGGGAAUAUUGGACAAUGGGCGAAAGCCUGAUCCAGCCAUACCGCGUGGGUGAAGAAGGCCUUCGGGUUGUAAAGCCCUUUUGUUGGGAAAGAAAAGCAGCAGGUUAAUACCCCGCUGUUCUGACGGUACCCAAAGAAUAAGCACCGGCUAACUUCGUG
rnacentral:rRNA from 1 species